rnacentral:rRNA from 1 species
GAGGAAAGCGGGCGGCGUGCCUAAUACAUGCAAGUCGAGCGAACAGACGAGGAGCUUGCUCCUCUGACGUUAGCGGCGGACGGGUGAGUAACACGUGGAUAACCUACCUAUAAGACUGGGAUAACUUCGGGAAACCGGAGCUAAUACCGGAUAAUAUAUUGAACCGCAUGGUUCAAUAGUGAAAGACGGUUUUGCUGUCACUUAUAGAUGGAUCCGCGCCGCAUUAGCUAGUUGGUAAGGUAACGGCUUACCAAGGCAACGAUGCGUAGCCGACCUGAGAGGGUGAUCGGCCACACUGGAACUGAGACACGGUCCAGACUCCUACGGGAGGCAGCAGUAGGGAAUCUUCCGCAAUGGGCGAAAGCUUGACGGAGCAACGCCGCGUGAGUGAUGAAGGUCUUCGGAUCGUAAAACUCUGUUAUUAGGGAAGAACAAAUGUGUAAGUAACUAUGCACGUCUUGACGGUACCUAAUCAGAAAGCCACGGCUAACUACGUG